rnacentral:lncRNA from 1 species
CGCAGAAAUACUUUGAUAUCUGUUUCUCUUCAGAGAAAACAUAGAGAUGAAGAGAAUGAAGAUCGAAAGAAGAUGAAGCGCUUGAGCUCAACACCUUUAUAACGACUUCCUCAAACACAUCGCUUAACAGCAUCAAUCAAAACAGCCACUUAACCGGCUCGGUUAUCUUUCUGGUUCAUUGCAAUGCUCGGUUAUCUCUCUGAGUAUGUGCCUAGUCACUUGCUAAUCGAUUUAUAAGUUUUUUUUUCUAUUUUUUUUUUUUUUUUUUUUUUUGCCUACAAUCGAUUUGUAAGUUAUAUAAUUGAAAUUGACAUCUCUUCUCUCCGACCAAAGAUAAAAAUACGAUUUUUUUCUUCUUGUAA